rnacentral:rRNA from 1 species
GGAGCACCACAACGGGUGGAGCCUGCGGUUUAAUUGGACUCAACGCCGGGCAGCUCACCGGAUAAGACAGCUGGAUGAUAGCCGGGCUGAAGACUCUGCUUGACUAGCUGAGAGGAGGUGCAUGGCCGUCGUCAGUUCGUACUGUGAAGCAUCCUGUUAAGUCAGGCAACGAGCGAGACCCACGCCAACAGUUGCCAGCAUGUCCUCCGGGAUGAUGGGGACACUGUUGGGACCGCCUCUGCUAAAGAGGAGGAAGGAAUGGGCAACGGUAGGUCAGCAUGCCCCGAAUUAUCCGGGCUACACGCGGGCUACAAUGGUCAGGACAAUGGGUAUCGACACCGAGAGGUGGAGGCAAUCUCCUAAACCUGUCCUUAGUUCGGAUUGUGGGCUGCAACUCGCCCACAUGAAGCUGGAAUCCGUAGUAAUCGCGUCAAAA